GAGUGUCCAUGAGUCACAUGCUUGUAUGAGGUGGUCUCUGUUUGAUUUAAAUGGCUAUCGUGCUGUCAUUUGACUUUCAUAUAAAAUGAUUCAGUACAUUUCAAUGAGCACAAAGGUAUUUUGAUUUCCUUGCCUAAAAUAGAUGGGUAGGAUAAACUCUUAAUUUUUGUAACAUCAUUCAUAUUCUUUAUUGUGAUAUGUUAAUAUAUUCAGUUUUUCUUCAAUGAGAAUUUCAAGCAUAAUAAAUUUGUUUAAACUGUUGGUUGCUCAUACCUGUAAUCUACUCAGGAGGCUGAGAUCUGAGGAUUGAGGUUUGAACCCAGACCAUCAGGAAAAGUCUGUGAUAUGCUUUAAAUUUUU